rnacentral:rRNA from 1 species
AGGAUAAACGCUGGCGGCGUGCCUAACACAUGCAAGUCGAACGUCCUACGCAAGUAGGGAGUGGCGGACGGGUGAGUAACACGUGGGCAAUCUACCUUUCGGUGAGGAAUACCGGCGAGAAAUCGCCGACAAUACCGCAUACGCUUCGCAAGAAGCAAAGUCGCAAGACGCCGGAGGAGGAGCCUGCGCCCGAUUAGCUGGUUGGUGAGGUAAAAGCUCACCAAGGCGUCGAUCGGUAGCUGGUCUGAGAGGAUGAUCAGCCACACUGGGAUUGAGAACGGCCCAGACUCCUACGGGGGGCAGCAGUGAGGAAUUUUCGUCAAUGGGGGAAACCCUGAACGAGCAACGCCGCGUGCAGGAUGACGCUUCUCGGAGUGUAAACUGCUUUUCGUCGGGGAAGAGAACGGACGGUACCCGAGGAAUCGAGCCCGGCUAACUACGCGCCAGCAGCCGC